rnacentral:rRNA from 1 species
GCUAGCGGCAGGCCUAACACAUGCAAGUCGAGCGGUAACAUUUCUAGCUUGCUAGAAGAUGACGAGCGGCGGACGGGUGAGUAACGCGUAGAAAUCUACCUAGUAGUGGGGGAUAGCCCAGAGAAAUUUGGAUUAAUACCGCAUACGCCCUACGGGGGAAAGCGGGGGAUCUUCGGACCUCGUGCUAUUAGAUGAGUCUGCGUCGGAUUAGCUUGUUGGUGAGGUAAUGGCUCACCAAGGCGACGAUCCGUAGCUGGUCUGAGAGGAUGACCAGCCACACUGGAACUGAGACACGGUCCAGACUCCUACGGGAGGCAGCAGUGGGGAAUAUUGCACAAUGGGCGCAAGCCUGAUGCAGCCAUGCCGCGUGUGUGAAGAAGGCCUUAGGGUUGUAAAGCACUUUCAGCAGUGAGGAAAGGGGUGUCGUUAAUAGCGCCAUCCUGUGACGUUAACUGCAGAAGAAGGACCGGCUAACUCCGUG